rnacentral:rRNA from 1 species
UACGAAGGGGGCUAGCGUUGCUCGGAAUGACUGGGCGUAAAGGGCGCGUAGGCGGAUGGUACAGUCAGAUGUGAAAUUCCUGGGCUCAACCUGGGGGCUGCAUUUGAUACGUGCUGUCUUGAGUUCGGAAGAGGGUCGUGGAAUUCCCAGUGUAGAGGUGAAAUUCGUAGAUAUUGGGAAGAACACCGGUGGCGAAGGCGGCGACCUGGUCCGAUACUGACGCUGAGGCGCGAAAGCGUGGGGGAGCAAACAGG